CUACGGGAGGCAGCAGUGGGGAAUCUUAGACAAUGGGGGAAACCCUGAUCUAGCCAUGCCGCGUGAGUGAUGAAGGCCCUAGGGUCGUAAAGCUCUUUCGCCAGGGAUGAUAAUGACAGUACCUGGUAAAGAAACCCCGGCUAACUCCGUGCCAGCAGCCGCGGUAAUACGGAGGGGGUUAGCGUUGUUCGGAAUUACUGGGCGUAAAGCGCGCGUAGGCGGAUUAGAAAGUUGGGGGUGAAAUCCCGGGGCUCAACCCCGGAACUGCCUCCAAAACUACUAGUCUAGAGUUCGAGAGAGGUGAGUGGAAUUCCGAGUGUAGAGGUGAAAUUCGUAGAUAUUCGGAGGAACACCAGUGGCGAAGGCGGCUCACUGGCUCGAUACUGACGCUGAGGUGCGAAAGUGUGGGUAGCAAACAGGAUUAGAUACCCUGGUAGUCCACACCGUAAACGAUGAAUGCCAGUCGUCGGGGCGCUUGCGCUUCGGUGACACACCUAACGGAUUAAGCAUUCCGCCUGGGGAGUACGGUCGCAAGAUUAAAACUCAAAGGAAUUGACGGA
rnacentral:rRNA from 1 species